rnacentral:tRNA from 1 species
AGAAAGAUAAACUAAUAUAAGUUAUUAGGUUCAUACCCUGCUCAUAGAAGUAAAGUCUUCUUCUUUCUA